UGCUGAUGGUGAGGGCAAUUUCUGCGCCUACCCUUAAAUCUCUCCCAAGCUUGGUAGAGAUUCUCUUCUUUUUUCUGUUUGAAACUUAAGAUAUCACUCCUUAAACA